AUUGAACGCUGGCGGCAUGCCUUACACAUGCAAGUCGAACGGUAACGGGCCUUCGGGUGCCGACGAGUGGCGAACGGGUGAGUAAUACAUCGGAACGUGCCCGAUCGUGGGGGAUAACGAGGCGAAAGCUUUGCUAAUACCGCAUACGAUCUACGGAUGAAAGCAGGGGACCGCAAGGCCUUGCGCGGGCGGAGCGGCCGAUGGCAGAUUAGGUAGGUGGUGGGAUAAAAGCUUACCAAGCCGACGAUCUGUAGCUGGUCUGAGAGGAUGAUCAGCCACACUGGGACUGAGACACGGCCCAGACUCCUACGGGAGGCAGCAGUGGGGAAUUUUGGACAAUGGGCGCAAGCCUGAUCCAGCCAUGCCGCGUGCAGGAUGAAGGCCUUCGGGUUGUAAACUGCUUUUGUACGGAACGAAAAGCCUUCUUUUAAUACAGGAGGGUCAUGACGGUACCGUAAGAAUAAGCACCGGCUAACUACGUG
rnacentral:rRNA from 1 species